rnacentral:rRNA from 1 species
GAUGAACGCUAGCGACAGGCUUAACACAUGCAAGUCGAGGGGCAGCGAGGUGGUAGCAAUACCGCUGUCGGCGACCGGCGCACUGGUGAGUAACACGUAUGCGACCUGCCCCCUACAGGGGGUAUAACCCCGUAGAAAUGCGGACUAAUCCCCCCAUAGUCCCGCGGGCUGCAUGGCCUGCGGGGGAAAGGGUUUCCGGUAGGGGAUGGGCAUGCGGCGCAUUAGCUAGUUGGCGGGGCAACGGCCCACCAAGGCGACGAUGCGUAGGGGUUCUGAGAGGAAGGUCCCCCCACACUGGUACUGAGACACGGACCAGACUCCUACGGGAGGCAGCAGUGAGGAAUAUUGGUCAAUGGGCGCAGGCCUGAACCAGCCAAGUCGCGUGAGGGAAGACGGUCCUACGGAUUGUAAACCUCUUUUGUCGGGGAGUAACGUGCGGGACGCGUCCCGUAUUGAGAGUACCCGAAGAAAAAGCAUCGGCUAACUCCGUG